ensembl:lncRNA novel transcript, antisense to C10orf112
UGUGCGAAGUGGCAUUCUGAAUGUGUGACAAGAGACCUAGAUCAAUGCAGAACUAAGAUAAUUCUGAUGGCAGUUUCCAAUUUUAAUUUAGCGAGCAUAUUUAUACUUCUAAUGGAAUUCACUUAUUAACUGACAACAUUGUUUUAGUGUUGAUAAAAGCAUGGAAGUGUUUAUAAUAGUCUGAAACUAUUACAAAUGGGAAAGGAGAAAAAAAGAAUAAAACAAAAACCAAUCUAUGUUACAUCCAGUAAACAUGACUUCGAGGUGAAUAUUUUGUAUUUUUAUUUUUAACAGCUUUAUGGAGCUAUAAAUCACAUGCCAUACAAUUCACAAACUUAAAGUACACAAUUCAAUGGUUUUCAGUAAUGUUACUUUUAUUAAUUUUUAAUUUUUAAAACAGUGGUAUAUAUCACAUAAAAUUUGCCAUUUUAACCAUUUCAAGUAUACAAUUCAAUGCCAUUAAUUCCACUCACAGUGUUGUGCUACCAUUACCACUAUUUCCAAAAUGUUUUUAUAACUCUGAACUGAAGCUCCAUGGCCAGUGAGCAUUAACACCCCAUUCCCCUCCAACCAAUCCCAGGUAAAUUCUGAUUUACCUUCUGUCUUUAUGAGACUCGAGGUACCUCACCUAAGUGGAAUCAUACAGUAUUUGUCCUUUUGUGUUUGGCUUAUUUCACUUAGCAUAAUGUUUUCAAGAUUCAUCCAUAUUGUAGUAUGUAUCAGAAGUUUAAUCAUUUUUAUUGCUGAAUAAUAUUCCCUUGCAUGUAUAUGUCACAUUUUGUUUAUUCAUUCACCUGUUGAUGGAAAUUUGGGUAGUUUCCAUCUUUUCACUAUUGUGAAUACUGCUAUGGGGAACAUUGCUGCAUGAAUAUCUGUUUAAGUCUCUAUUUUGAUUCUUCGAGGUAUAUAACUAGGAGUUGAAUUGAUAGAACACACGGUAACUCUUUUUUAACUUUUGAGGAACUGCCAAACUGUUUUUGAUAGUGCUGCACCAUCUUACAUUCCCACCAACAAUGUGUGAGGGUUUCUAUUUCUCCUCAUCCUCAUCAACACUUGUUAUUUUCAGUUUUUAAAUUAUUAUUAUUAUUGCUAUCUCAGUGGAUGUGAAUUGGUAUGUAAUUGUGGUACUGAUUUUCAUUUCCCUAAUGACUAGUGAUGUUGAACAUCUUUUUAUGUUCAACUAUAUGUAAUCUUCUUUGAAGAAAUGACUAUUCUAGUCCUUUGCCCAUUUUGAAAUUGGGUUGUCUUUUUGUUCUUAAGUUGUAUGGAUUUUUAUAUAUUCUGGAUAUUAAACUUUUAUCAGAUACGUACUUUUGAAUAUUUUCUACCAUUUUGUAGAUUGUCUUUUCACUUUCUUGAUAAUGUCUUUUGUUGCACAAAAGUUUUUGAUUUUGAUAAAGUCCAAUUUACUUAUUUAUUUUUUGUUGUUGCUUGUGCUUUUGGUGUCAUAUUUAAGAAAGAAUCAAUUUCCAAAUCCAAGAUCAUGAAGAUUUACCACUAUGUUUUCUUUUAAAUGCAUUAUGGCUUUUGCUCUUACAUGUAGCUCCUUGAUCCAUUUUGAGCUAAUUUCUGUAUGUGGUGUGAAGUAGGGGGUCCAUCUGCAUUCUUUUGCAUUGCAAAAUCCAGUUGUCCCAAUAUCAUCUACUGAAGAGACUAUUUGAUCCCCAUUGGAUGGACUUGGCAUUGUUGUCAAGCAUCAAUUCAUGACAGAUGUAUAGGAUUAUAUUUGAAUUUUCAAUUCAGUUCAAUUCAAUUGAUCUAUAUGUCUGUUCUCAUGCCUCAUGCCGAUACCACACUGUUUUGUUUACUGUACUUUUGUAGUAAAUUCUGAAAUUUGGAAGUUUGAGUUCUCCAACAUUGUUUUGGCUAUUUGGUACCCUUGCAAUUUAUAAAUUUGAGAAGAGGUUUUUCACUUUUGCAAAAAUGGCUGUUGGAAUUUUCGAUAGAGAUUGCCUUGAAUCUGCAGGUUGCUGUAUUAGUCUGUUCUCAUGCUGCUGUGAAGAAAUACCUGAGCCUGGGUAAUUUAUAAAGGAAAGAGGUUUAAUUGACUCACAGUUCCACAGGCCUGGGGAGGCCUCAGGUAACUUACAAUCAUGGCAGAAGGGGAAGCAAAUAUGCCCUUCUUCACACAGUGGCAGCCAGAAGUGCAGAGCAAAAGCCGGAAAAGCCCCGUCUAAAGCCAUCAGACCUUGUGAGAACUUACUCACUAUCCUGAGAAUAGCAGCAUGAGGGUAACCACCCCCAUGCUUAGAUUACCUCCCACUAGGUCCCUCCCACGGCUUGUGGGGAUUAUGGAAACUAGAAUUCAAGAUGAGAUUUGGGUGGGGACAUGGAGCCAAACCAUAUGAGUUGCUUUAGUUAGUAUUAACGUCUCGACAAUAUUGUCCUCCUUUCCAUGAACUUAGUGUGUCAUUCCAUUUAGUUAGGUCUUAUUUAAUUUCUUUCAAUAAUGCUUUGUGAUUUUAAGUGUAUAAAUCUUUCACCUCAUUGGUUAAAUUUAUUCCCAGGUAUUUUAUUCUUUUAGAUGCUAUUGUCAACAGAAUUGCCUUCAAGAUUCCUUUUCUGAUUGUUCAUUGCUGAGAUGACAUCUCACUAUAUUGCCCAGGCUGGUCUUGAACUUCUAGCCUCAAGCAAUCCUCCCACCUCAGCCUCUGAACGUACUGGAAUUACAGAUGGAGCAACUGAGAUUCUUCCCCAACUAGACUAUAAGUUCUCUGAGGGAUAAGGAACAUGUCUGGUUUCCUCAUCUCUCUGUCACAGCACCCUGUGAAUGCCUAGAAGACAGUAAGAAUCAACUGAAUGUUUGUAGAAAGAAUAACGAUACUUACCUAUAGUCUAAAGGUUUAGUGAUGAAAUGAAGUCCACUAACUUCUCUCUGCUUACUUCCACCCUCAAUAACAUAUUUCCUCAAACCCCACAGAGGAAAGACAAUUCAUUUUUUACUAUUGUUUAAUAGAGCCAUGUUUGUAUGUAGCUUCCUGUUCCGCUUAGCCCAAGACAUUAAGUGGGUCAGGAGUAAACUCUGCCCUCUGUUUUUUUCCAUUCCUUUGUCACCUGCUCAAGUGGCAGCCCAGAGCCGCUUGGCGGCUUCCCUGAAGAUGAGCAGAGUGCAGUAGAUUAGGCAUGGCCUUUCUAUCUAUUUCUACUAUGGAGAAGCUGAAAAAGCUAUAUGGCUGGAAAAAAAUCACCUUGGUACUAAUUUGCUAUUUUACAAUAUUUGAAAAUAAAGACCUGUGGUCUUCCUAUGUAUUUCUUUUUAAACAAUGAGGGGUAUGGAACAUCUAUGAAUAAACAUCAA